rnacentral:misc_RNA from 1 species
AAGUCGUAACAAGGUUUCCGUAGGUGAACCUGCGGAAGGAUCAUUACCACCCUGGCUGCCGCCGCCGCGCGUGUCCCGACUGUGUUGGGGCACGUGUGUGUGCGCGCGCGUGGCCUCUCCCCCUUUAUCAACCAACCCUGUGAACGAUAAAUCCAAGGUCUUUUGGGAAGACCGCCGCACACCCUCCACAGUGCGCGGCACUUCCCGCUUUUACACGUAUUCGACCAUGAAGCAUUGUCAACCAAGGCGAUGUUAUGCACACAAACACAAAAUAAUUGAAACAACUUUCAACGGCGGAUCUCUUGGCUCGU